rnacentral:lncRNA from 1 species
CAACAAAAUAUGUAAUUAUGUAAUAUGCAAAUAUAUAUUUAGCUCGAACAAUUUACUUUUUAAACAAUUCUAAAAGAAAAUAAUUUUAACUUCUGUUUUCAAAAAAUUUUAAGAACGGAUUAUAUAGAAAAUACAAAAGAAAUGUAAAACUCAGUGUAAAGAGAGGUGAAGUUCAGUGCAUGAGAGAGAGAGAGAGAGAGAAGGGAGAAGCAAUUCAAAAAAUUUUUCAAGGUUCCAGCUUCAUGAGUACACAUUCUUCUAUAUACACACCUGAAUCAAAGUGAGGAUUUUAUCCAUUCUCGAGGUAAGGAAAUGUUGUGAGAAUUUUGUCCAUUUUUGAGGUAAGGAAAUGAGAAUUUUGUCGAAAAAGAUUUUGAUAGAUUUGUUACUUUUCCGAGGUGGAUUUGAGAAGAUUUGGUACCUUUCUGAGGUGUAAUCAUGAAAUCCAAAUUUGGUACUUUACCGAGGUAAGAUAAUCAUGAAAUUCAAACUAAAAAUACUGAAAAAACGUGGAGACGUCACGUGUAUCUAAGAAAUCGCCAAUUUAUAUAUUUGUAUGGAGUUCUCCUAUAUACACACCCGAAUCAAGGUGAGGAUUUUGUCCCUUCUCGAGGUAAGAAAAUGUGGUGAGGAUUUUGUCCCUUCCCGAGGUAAGGAAAGGAGGAUUUUGUACCUUUCCAAGGUGAAUUUGGAAAGAUUUGGUACAUUCCCAAGGUGUAAUUAUGAAAUUCAAAUUUGGUACUUUACCUAGAUUAGAUAAUCAUGAAAUUCAAAAUAAAAAAUAAUAGAAAAACGUGGAGGUGCCACGUGUAUCUAAGAAACUACCAAAAUUUAUAUGAUUUGGAUAGAUUUGGUACAUUUUCAAGUUGAAUUUGGAAAGAUUUGGUACCUUUUCAAGGUGUAAUCAUGAAAUUCAGAUUUGGUACUUUAUCGAGAUAAGAUAAUCAUGAAAUUCAAAAUAAAAAAUAUUAAAAAAAUGUGGAGAGGACACGUGUAUCUGAGAAACCGCUAAUUUAUAUAUUUGUAUGUAUAUACGCUUCUAGUUUAUUUAAUUUAGUGAAAGUUAAUUAGUAAAUAGCAAAUAAAAUUUA